AGUCUUUCCAGCUUCAGUUUGAGGUGAUUGUGUUAGAUGUGUUGUUGACUAGCUCCUCUGAACAACAGUGUCCUGACCAGAGGACAUAUUUUCUAUCUUGUCAGUCUUUCCAGCUUCAGUUUGAGGUGAUUGUGUUAGAUGUGCUGUUGACUAGCUCCUCUGAACAACAGUGUCCUGGCCAGAGGACGUAUUUUCUAUCUUGUCAGUCUUUCCAGCUUCAGUUUGAGGUGAUUGUGUUAGAUGUGCUGUUGACUAGCUCCUCUGAACAACAGUGUCCAGCUUCAGUUUGAGGUGAUUGUGUUAGAUGUGCUGUUGACUAGCUCCUCUGAACAACAGUGUCCAGCUUCAGUUUGAGGUGAUUGUGUUAGAUGUGUUGUUGACUAGCUCCUCUGAACAACAGUGUCCUGACCAGAGGACGUAUUUUCUAUCUUGUCAGUCUUUCCAGCUUCAGUUUGAGGUGAUUGUGUUAGAUGUGUUGUUGACUAGCUCCUCUGAACAACAGUGUCCUGACCAGAGGACGUAUUUUCUAUCUUGUCAGUCUUUCCAGCUUCAGUUUGAGGUGAUUGUGUUAGAUGUGUUGUUGACUAGCUCCUCUGAACAACAGUGUCCUGGCCAGAGGACGUAUUUUCUAUGUCAGGUGAAAUCACGCCUCAUUAGAUCAUUAUUAUUAUUAACAGAUGAAACCAAUGCAGCUACUUUGUUGUUCUUCUGGCGGUGAAUUGGCCGAUAGAAUGAACGACCAGCCAGCUGGGUAACAACCCUGGAUGUGUCGGGACUUUAUAUUGUGGAAGGAUGAAAGACUGUAAAUAAAUUCAUUCAAAAUACAGUUUUCUGAAAAUAUGAUUUGAAUAAUGUUGUAUAGAAGAAGUGCUAAUGCCCACGAAACCGGUGUUUGGAGGAUAUCUGUAGCUCAGUUGGUAGAGCAUGGCGCUUGUAACGCCAGGGUAGUGGGUUCGAUUCCCGGGACCACCCAUACGUAGAAUGUAUGCACACAUGACUGUAAGUCGCUUUGGAUAAAAGCGUCUGCUAAAUGGCAUAUAUUAUUAUUAUUUAUAUGUUUGCACGUUUUGCCGGUGUUGUGCCGAAAAUCUCCCCCCUGACAGAAUCCCCCAUUAGAGCGUUGGACUAGUAACCGGAAGGUUGCGAGUUCAAAUCCCCGAGCUGACAAGGUACAAAUCUGUUGUUCUGCCCCUGAACAGGUAGUUAACCUACUGUUCCCAGGCCGUCAUUGAAAAUAAGAAUUUAUUCUUAACUGACUUGCCUACAUUAAAUCACGUAAAUGCCAUGUCAAAACG